UCCCUGUGUGAAUAUUUGCUCGAUCACGGUACGACGCUCAAGCCUCUCCGGAAGAAACCCUAGAGAAACUUCAGCUGAUGGGGACGCCGGAGACAUCUAGAGAGCCCUGCCCGGACCGUAUCCUCGACGAUGUAGGUGGUGCCUUCGCUAUGGGAGCUGUCGGUGGUUCGGCCUUCCACUUUCUGAAGGGCAUAUACAAUUCCCCCACAGGGGCCCGCCUUGUCGGUGGCUCCCAGGCCGUGCGCCUCAACGCCCCGCGCGUCGGCGGAAGCUUUGCCGUCUGGGGUGGCCUCUUCUCCGCCUUCGACUGCACCAUGGUAUACGUCCGCCAGAAGGAGGACCCCUGGAACUCAAUCGUGGCCGGCGCCGCCACCGGUGGAUUCCUGUCCAUGCGCCAGGGCCUCCCUGCCUCGGCUCGAUCGGCUGCUUUCGGGGGCGUGCUCUUGGCUCUCAUCGAAGGAGCCGGGAUCAUGCUCAACCGUAUAUUCAGCGCACAGCAACAGAUGCCCAUGGUCAUCGAAGAGCCCCCACCCAAUACGCCUGCUCUUCCUGCCUUCAUGGGCCAGUCACCAGGCCUCCCUCAGGCCCUGCCCACGCCUGAGCCGGCGUCGGCAGCUGGAUCUUCUUCGGAUUCUGGUUCAGGUUGGCUCGGAGGCUGGUUUGGCGGAGCAAAGAAAAAAGAUUCGGCAGCAACUACUAGCGGAAGCGAGACGAAGAUCUUGGAAAGUUUCGAUGCGCCACCGGUGCCGAGUUUUGAGUACAAGUGACAAAGGUUAUUUUUGAGGCCUACAGACGAAGGAAAUCCUCCUCCAAGGGCAGAGUGAAGUGGGCUUAUACCCUAUGUACAUGAAGCAGCUAAAACUCAACAAAUCAACUCCCAAAGCUACUCUUCUUUCCUCUCACUGCCGUCAAAAGAAAUUUCCUCUGCCCCCAUGCCCUCCACAACUCAUUGCUGAAACCACCUGUGCACCACCAACACCGCUUACACAUUCUCCUAGUGAGUUACCACCCAUUUCACCUACACAUGAUCCACCUCCUACUCUUACCCCUGCUCUCUCUUCUACCCAAAUUAUCACUUGUUCUUAUACUAACUCCUUGAAACUAAAAAAUUUCUGGACUAUGAUCUCUACUAUUCUACCAAAUAUCCAUUCCAAGCCCUUUACACUAUAACCUUACCCUCUAAACCCCAAACCUAUACAGAGGCAGUGAGGGACCAGCAUUGGGUUGAUGCUAUGCAGGCUGAAUACAAUGAUCUAAUGGCUAAUCAAACCUAGACCUUAUGUCCUCGACUUUGUCAUAAAAAAGUUGUGAGGAAUAAGUGGUUAUUUAAGGUUAAAAAAAAGUCCGAUGGGAGACUUGAUCGAUACAAAGCCAAAUUGGUAGCUAAAGGAUUUGAUCAAGUUGAAGGAGUUGAUUUUAAUGAAACUUUUAGCCCUAUUAUCAAACAUGCUAAAAUCAAGCUAGUUUUGGACCUAGCUGUGCACCACGACUGGUUUAUUUGCCAACUUGACAUAUCUAAUGCCUUUUUCUGCAUGGUUACAUUGAAGAAGAAAUUUACAUGGAGCAAUCUCAAGGAUUUGAGGAUCCCCACUUUCUUGAUUAUGUGUGUCGGUUCAACUGUUGACACAUUUCUAUUUACCUUUAAUCACCAGAACAUCUCUGUCUUUGUACUUAUUUAUGUUGAUGGCAUAAUUGUUACCAGCAAUUCUUCCUCAUCUAUUGAUGCUCUUCUCACUAA